GACGAACGCUGGCGGCGUGCUUAACACAUGCAAGUCGAACGGAAAGGCCCAGCUUGCUGGGUGCUCGAGUGGCGAACGGGUGAGUAACACGUGGGUGAUCUGCCCCUAACUUCGGGAUAAGCUUGGGAAACUGGGUCUAAUACCGGAUAGGACACGCGUUUAGUGUCGGGUGUGGACAGUUUUUUCGGUUAGGGAUGAGCCCGCGGCCUAUCAGCUUGUUGGUGGGGUAAUGGCCUACCAAGGCGUGGACGGGUAGCCGGCCUGAGAGGGUGGACGGCCACAUUGGGACUGAGAUACGGCCCAGACUCCUACGGGAGGCAGCAGUGGGGAAUAUUGCACAAUGGGCGCAAGCCUGAUGCAGCGACGCCGCGUGGGGGAUGACGGCCUUCGGGUUGUAAACCUCUUUCGACAGGGACGAAGCUUUGGUGACGGUACCUGUAUAAGAAGCACCGGCUAACUACGUGCCAGCCGCCGCAGUAACAC
rnacentral:rRNA from 1 species